rnacentral:rRNA from 1 species
UGGGGAAUAUUGGGCAAUGGGCGCAAGCCUGACCCAGCAACGCCGCGUGAAGGAAGAAGGCUUUCGGGUUGUAAACUUCUUUUGUCGGGGACGAAACAAAUGACGGUACCCGACGAAUAAGCCACGGCUAACUACGUGCCAGCAGCCGCGGUAAUACGUAGGUGGCAAGCGUUAUCCGGAUUUACUGGGUGUAAAGGGCGUGUAGGCGGGAUUGCAAGUCAGAUGUGAAAACUGGGGGCUCAACCUCCAGCCUGCAUUUGAAACUGUAGUUCUUGAGUGCUGGAGAGGCAAUCGGAAUUCCGUGUGUAGCGGUGAAAUGCGUAGAUAUACGGAGGAACACCAGUGGCGAAGGCGGAUUGCUGGACAGUAACUGACGCUGAGGCGCGAAAGCGUGGGGAGCAAACAGGA